GAUGAAGAACGCAGCGAAAUGCGAUAAGUAAUGUGAAUUGCAGAAUUCAGUGAAUCAUCGAAUCUUUGAACGCACAUUGCGCCCGCCAGUAUUCUGGCGGGCAUGCCUGUUCGAGCGUCAUUUCAACCAUCAAGCUCAGCUUGGUGUUGGGCCCCGCCGCCCCGGCGGGCCCUAAAGUCAGUGGCGGUGCCGUCCGGCUCCGAGCGUAGUAAUUCUUCUCGCUCUGGAGGUCCGGUCGUGUGCUCGCCAGCAACCCCCAAUUUUUUUCAGGUUGACCUCGGAUCAGGUAGGGAUACCCGCUGAACUUAAGCAUAUCAAUAAGCGGAGGA
rnacentral:misc_RNA from 1 species